CAAACAACAAUCAUGAAUCAAAAUUUAUCAAUCCCACUUUGAUUGAUAUGCCACCUUUGCCUGAGACCAAGCUUCUUCCUCAAAUUAGGAGUGAAGGAGAAUUAAUGUUAUCAUUGACAACAGAAGAAGUCAGACCAUGCUUAUCGGAGCAGCUUACAAUAUUUUACGAUGGCUCAAGCUAUUUUGCUUCUGGCUGGUGAAAGCUCAUCAUCAAAUACUACAACUCCAAAAGUGGGUAUACAAUCACCAACCCUUCAAUCCAGUUAUGUAAUUUAGAAUUGUUAUUACAAACAUGAAAGUUU